rnacentral:lncRNA from 1 species
CGCAGCUUUAUACGACCGCAGAUGUCGAACCCUGAACAAUUGGGGCAAGUAUGGACACAACAUUCAAGCUUGAUACAGCUCUGAAUUUGGAUUGUGAUCAAAUUUUUGAUAUAAUAUGAGUUUCUGACACAAAACAGAUGUCAAGAUCUUACAAAUCUAUUAUGCAAUAUUGUGCAAUUAAAGAUUUCUUCUUCAAACUUUUUAAAAAUUUGGAAUUUGAGAAAUUGGGAAAAAAAAUUGAAAACUACUACCACCCCCCUUUUUUUGCAAUUAGUCCAAAAC